AUAUCCAUAAACUCAUCAUCUUCUUCAAACUACAUUAUAUAUCAUGAGCAUAAAUGAAUUAAAACCACUUCUUAAUCCACCAAAAUUUAGAAAUUUAUGGUAAUAAAGAUCGAGAAAUACAAGAAAAUAACAAGGAGAUUUUUAUUUAAAAAAAAAGAAAAAAAAAACUCUAAUGAAAACCUACUACUACAAUGGGGAAAUAAAAGUUACAUAAAUGGUUACAUAUGAGGGUAACUAAUUAUAAAAAUAUCUAACUAACACUAUACAUAUAGUAUCUCUAAAUAACAACAUUCAUAAAAGAAAAAAAUUUCUAUAGUUACAAAAGAAAAAUUAUUUAUUUUAUUUAUUUUCUUCUAACUCCAAGGAGGAGUAGUCUUACUGUUGUGAGGGGCUGCUACGGUGGAGUCUCCUUCGGUUUCCGAUUCGUGUCGAGAGCUCGAACCUCGCCGGUUCCGGAGGCGAGGAAUCACGAUGAUGAAGAUAAUAAGGAGGAAGAAGGCAGUGGUAAGAACAAGAAACACUAUCUUACCAUGUAGAGCAAAGUUCUUGUCUUGAGAAAUUGGAACCUCAUCUACUUGUUCUUGUUGUUUUGGGCCAUAAUAAUAAUAAUUAGUGUUGUUAUUAUUGUUGUAAGGAGUAGUAGU
rnacentral:lncRNA from 1 species